rnacentral:tRNA from 1 species
AGUCCCGUGGUGUAAGGCACAUUAGAUUGCAAGUCUAAAGGCGCAGGAUAACCCCUGCCGGGGCUU